rnacentral:rRNA from 1 species
CAGCCGCCGCGGUAAUACAGAGGUCUCAAGCGUUGUUCGGAUUCAUUGGGCGUAAAGGGUGCGUAGGUGGCGGUGUAAGUCUAACGUGAAAUCUCGGGGCUCAACCUCGAAAUUGCGUCGGAUACUGCAUUGCUAGAGGAUUGUAGAGGAGAGUGGAAUUCAUGGUGUAGCAGUGAAAUGCGUAGAUAUCAUGAGGAAGACCAGUUGCGAAGGCGACUCUCUGGGCAAUUCCUGACACUGAGGCACGAAGGCUAGGGGAGCAAACGGGAUUAGAUACCCCAGUAGUCCCUGUCUCUUAUAA